rnacentral:rRNA from 2 species
UUAGGUUAAGUUAUGAAGGGCGCAUGGUGAAUGCCUUGGUACUAGGAGCCGAUGAAGGACGGGACUAACACCGAUAUGCUUCGGGGAGCGGUAAGUACGCUUUGAUCCGGAGAUUUCCGAAUGGGGCAACCCAAUCAGUUUAGUCGCUGAUUACUUGACUAGUGAAUACAUAGCUAGCAAGAGGUAGACGCAGUGAACUGAAACAUCUUAGUAGCUGCAGGAAGAGAAAGAAACAUCGAUUCCCUGAGUAGCGGCGAGCGAAAAGGGAAGAGCCCAAACCAACAAGCUUGCUUGUUGGGGUUGUAGGACUGAACAUUAGAGUUACCAAAGUGCGACGUAGUCGCAACAGUUGGGAAGCUGUGCCAUAGAGGGUGAAAGCCCCGUAGACGAAACGUCACACUCUCUGUUCAGGAUCCUGAGUACGGCGGGACACGUGAAACCCCGUCGGAACCUGCGAGGACCAUCUCGCAAGGCUAAAUACUCCCUAGUGACCGAUAGUGAACCAGUACCGUGAGGGAAAGGUGAAAAGCACCCCGGAAGGGGAGUGAAAUAGUUCCUGAAACCAUGUGCCUACAAGCUGUCGGAGCCCGUUAAUGGGUGACGGCGUGCCUCUUGCAGAAUGAACCGGCGAGUUACGAUUGCAUGCAAGGUUAAGGUGGAAAAACCGGAGCCGUAGCGAAAGCGAGUCUUAAAUGGGCGUAAGAAGUAUGUAGUUGUAGACCCGAAACCAGGUGACCUACCCAUGUCCAGGUUGAAGGUGCGGUAAAGCGCACUGGAGGACCGAACCCGUGUCAGUUGAAAAUGGCUGGGAUGAGGUGUGGGUAGCGGUGAAAUUCCAAACGAACUUGGAGAUAGCUGGUUCUCUCCGAAAUCUCUUUAGGGGGAGCCUUGAGGUAAAGAAUCGUGGAGGUAGAGCUACUGUUUGGACAAGGGGCCCGUCAUGGGUUACCAACUUCAGAUAAACUCCGAAUGCCAUCGAUUUAUACUCAGGAGUCAGACGAUGAG